rnacentral:rRNA from 1 species
GACGAACGCUGGCGGCGUGCUUAACACAUGCAAGUCGAACGGUGACGGAGGAGCUUGCUCCUCCUGAUCAGUGGCGAACGGGUGAGUAACACGUGAGCAAUCUGCCCCUGACUCUGGGAUAACUGCGGGAAACUGUAGCUAAUACCGGAUACGACGCGCGAAGGCAUCUUCUGCGCGUGGAAAGAAUUUCGAUCAGGGAUGAGCUCGCGGCCUAUCAGCUUGUUGGUGAGGUAAUGGCUCACCAAGGCGACGACGGGUAGCCGGCCUGAGAGGGUGACCGGCCACACUGGGACUGAGACACGGCCCAGACUCCUACGGGAGGCAGCAGUGGGGAAUAUUGCACAAUGGGCGCAAGCCUGAUGCGGCAACGCCGCGUGAGGGACGACGGCCUUCGGGUUGUAAACCUCUUUUGGCAGGGAAGAAGCGAAAGUGACGGUACCUGCAGAAAAAGCACCGGCUAACUACGUG